rnacentral:rRNA from 1 species
GACGAACGCUGGCGGCGUGCCUAAUACAUGCAAGUUGAGCGCUGAAGGUUGGUACUUGUACCAACUGGAUGAGCAGCGAACGGGUGAGUAACGCGUGGGGAAUCUGCCUUUGAGCGGGGGACAACAUUUGGAAACGAAUGCUAAUACCGCAUAAAAACUUUAAACACAAGUUUUAAGUUUGAAAGAUGCAAUUGCAUCACUCAAAGAUGAUCCCGCGUUGUAUUAGCGAGUUGGUGAGGUAAAGGCUCACCAAGGCGAUGAUACAUAGCCGACCUGAGAGGGCGAGCGGCCACAUUGGGUCGUAGACACGGCCCAAACUUCUACGGGAGGUAGCCGUAGGGAAUAUUCGGCAAAGGACGAGAGUCUGACCGAGCAACGCCGCGUGAGUGAAGAAGGUUUUCGGAUCGUAAAACUCUGUUGGUAGAGAAGAUCGGUGGUGGUAGUGGAAAGCUCAUCAAGUGACAAUAACUACCCAGAAAGGGAAGGCUAACUACGUG